rnacentral:rRNA from 1 species
UACAGGGGGUGCAAACGUUGCUCGGAAUCAUUGGGCGUAAAGCGCACGUAGGCGGUUCGUUAUGUCGGAUGUGAAAGCCCUUGGCUUAACCGAGGAAGUGCAUCCGAAACUGGCGAGCUAGAGUACUAAAGAGGAUCGCGGAAUUCCCGGUGUAGAGGUGAAAUUCGUAGAUAGUCGGGAGGAACACCGGUGGCGAAGGCGGCGAUCUGGGUAGAUACUGACGCUGAGGUGCGAAAGCGUGGGGAGCAAACAGG